CCUACGGGGGGCUGCAGUGGGGAAUUUUCCGCAAUGGGCGCAAGCCUGACGGAGCAAGACCGCGUGAGGGAAGAAGGCUCUUGGGUUGUAAACCUCUUUUCUCUGGGAAGAAAGCUGUUUUUACAGCCUGACGGUACCAGAGGAAUCAGCAUCGGCUAACUCCGUGCCAGCAGCCGCGGUAAGACGGAGGAUGCAAGCGUUAUCCGGAAUGAUUGGGCGUAAAGCGUCCGCAGGUGGCAGUUCAAGUCUGCUGUCAAAGACCGAGGCUUAACUUC
rnacentral:rRNA from 1 species